GUAUACUUGGUGUAGCCGGACUCAACCCUGGCUGUGCCGGAGCUAACGCGUUAAGUAUACCGCCUGGGGAGUACAGUCGCAAGGCUGAAACUCAAAAGAAUUGACGGGGACCCGCACAAGCAGUGGAGCAUGUGGUUUAAUUCGAUGCUACGCGAAGAACCUUACCCAGGCUUGACAUGCAGCGGACCGGUCCAGAAAUGGGCCUUUCCUUCGGGACUGCUGCACAGGUGCUGCAUGGCUGUCGUCAGCUCGUGCCGUGAGGUGUUGGGUUAAGUCCCGCAACGAGCGCAACCCUUAUCAUUAGUUGCCAACAUUUAAGGUGGGAACUCUAAUGAGACUGCCCGGGUUAACCGGGAGGAAGGUGAGGAUGACGUCAAGUCCGCAUGGCCCUUAUGCCUGGGGCUACGACACGUGCUACAAUGGUCGGUACAGAAGGCAGCAAGACCGUAAGGUGGAGCAAAUCCCGAAAGCCGGCCUCAGUUCAGAUUGUAGUCUGCAACUCGACUACAUGAAGACGGUAA
rnacentral:rRNA from 1 species